rnacentral:rRNA from 1 species
UACGGAGGGGACUAGCGUUGUUCGGAAUUACUGGGCGUAAAGCGCACGUAGGCUGAUUUGUAAGUCAGGGGUGAAAUCCCGGGGCUCAACCUCGGAACUGCCUUUGAUACUGCAAAUCUCGAGUCCGGAAGAGGUGAGUGGAAUUCCUAGUGUAGAGGUGAAAUUCGUAGAUAUUAGGAAGAACACCAGUGGCGAAGGCGGCUCACUGGUCCGGUACUGACGCUGAGGAGCGAAAGCGUGGGGAGCGAACAGG